CCUACGGGGGGCAGCAGUGGGGAAUAUUGGACAAUGGGGGCAACCCUGAUCCAGCCAUGCCGCGUGUGUGAAGAAGGCCCUCGGGUUGUAAAGCACUUUCAGUGAGGAAGAACGCCUGGUGGUUAAUACCCAUCAGGAAAGACAUCACUCACAGAAGAAGCACCGGCUAACUCCGUGCCAGCAGCCGCGGUAAUACGGAGGGUGCGAGCGUUAAUCGGAAUUACUGGGCGUAAAGCGCGCGUAGGUGGCUUGAUAAGCCGGUUGUGAAAGCCCCGGGCUCAACCUGGGAACGGCAUCCGGAACUGUCAAGCUAGAGUGCAGGAGAGGAAGGUAGAAUUCCCGGUGUAGCGGUGAAAUGCGUAGAGAUCGGGAGGAAUACCAGUGGCGAAGGCGGCCUUCUGGACUGACACUGACACUGAGGUGCGAAAGCGUGGGUAGCAAACAGGAUUAGAUAUCCCGGUAGUC
rnacentral:rRNA from 1 species